rnacentral:lncRNA from 1 species
CUCCUGAAGAAAUCUCUUCCCUCUAACAAAACAAAGUCUAUUCUCAGUUACUCAGACACGCAUCAUCGAAGGCUCUAAAUUUCUCUAUUCUAGCAGAGUCAAUAAAAAGAUGAAAAUCAAGCCAGGUGACUUUUCGUAUAACUAUCCCUUCCACAACAUGACUUUCCCUGUCAUUGUUUUGAUAUAGUGUGUGUUUCGGCAUGAGAAAUUAAAUGGGAACUUUUGAGGAGUUUUGCAGAAGCUACAGAUGAUUCGAAGAGACCAGCAGGCCAUCCAGAAAAAAGUAUGGAAACUCAGAAAUGCAUAAAAUAUAGGACACAUCCCAUCUACAAAGCAUUGAGCAAAGCCCACUUGACCUUCAGCUGUCCGAGACAUCCUGAAGGCCCUGGAAGGAGGAGAACAUUAGUAUCUUCAAUCAGCAACAGUGUCUGGGGUUAUCAGGACCCAUCUGGGUCAGCCAGACAAACACCGCGUUGAGUGAAGGAGCUUUAGAGGAGUUUAAGCCCCUCCUUGUCCUGAGAUCAGGGCAGGAUUUGGAAAGUGAUCCUUCUGUACUUUUAGUUUUUAAAAAUAGCCAGUGUUUUGUGCUUAUCGGGGCAAACUAAAAAAUAAUAAUGAUAAUAAUUCUUAAUUAGAAAAAGUUUAAGUAAAUUUAAAAAAUAAAAUUUUGCUCAUUGCUGAAAAUCGGCUACUA